ACUGGGGCUUGGGGGGGACAGGAAUCGAUUCCAGGUGUGCUGGGGAGGGGCUCAGCUGCAUCCCAGGUAUCCAGGUGAGGGCUCAGGUGUGCUGGGAAGGGGCUCAGGUGGGUCCCAGGUAUCCAGGUGAGGUCUCAGGUGAGGUCUCAGGUGUCCAGGUGAGGGCUCAGGUGGGUCCCAGGUAUCCAGGUGAGGUCCCAGAUGGGUCCCAGGUAUCCAGGUGAGGGCCCAGGUGAGGUCUCAGGUGAGCAAAGACGGUCCCAGGUGCGCGGUGGGCGUGGCCCAGGUGUCCAGGUGAGGUGUCAGGUGUCCAGGUGGGUCCCAGGUGGGCGUGGCCUCUCCCCCCCCAGCAAUAAACACACCUGGACACAC